rfam:Homo sapiens chromosome 11, GRCh38 reference primary assembly.
ACCAGGAUGGCCAAGUAGUUAAAGGCACUGGACUUAAGAGCCAAUGGACAUAUGUCUGUGUGGGUUUGAACCCCACUCCUGGUG